rnacentral:rRNA from 1 species
AAUCAACGCUGGCGGCGUGCCUCAGACAUGCAAGUCGAACGAUUAAAGCUCUCUUCGGAGAGUGCAUAGAGUGGCGCACGGGUGAGUAACACGUAAGUAAUCUACCCUCGAGUGGGGAAUAACGUCCGGAAACGGGCGCUAAUACCGCAUAAUGCAGCGGCAUCAUAAGAUGACAGUUGUUAAAGAUUUAUCGCUUGAGGAGGAGCUUGCGGCAGAUUAGCUAGUUGGUAAGGUAACGGCUUACCAAGGCUACGAUCUGUAACCGGUCUUAGAGGGCGGUCGGUCACACUGACACUGAAUAACGGGUCAGACUCCUACGGGAGGCAGCAGUCGGGAAUUUUGGGCAAUGGGCGAAAGCCUGACCCAGCAACGCCGCGUGAAGGAUGAAGUAUUUCGGUAUGUAAACUUCGAAAGAAUAGGAAGAAUUAAUGACGGUACUAUUUAUAUGGUCCGGCUAACUACGUGCCAGCAGCCGCCGCGGUAA